rnacentral:rRNA from 1 species
CCUACGGGAGGCUGCAGUGGGGAAUAUUGGACAAUGGGGGCAACCCUGAUCCAGCCAUGCCGCGUGUGUGAAGAAGGCCCGCGGGUUGUAAAGCACUUUCAGUGAGGAAGAACGCCUGGUGGUUAAUACCCAUCAGGAAAGACAUCACUCACAGAAGAAGCACCGGCUAACUCCGUGCCAGCAGCCGCGGUAAUACGGAGGGUGCGAGCGUUAAUCGGAAUUACUGGGCGUAAAGCGCGCGUAGGUGGCUUGAUAAGCCGGUUGUGAAAGCCCCGGGCUCAACCUGGGAAUGGCAUCCGGAACUGUCAAGCUAGAGUGCAGGAGAGGAAGGUAGAAUUCCCGGUGUAGCGGUGAAAUGCGUAGAGAUCGGGAGGAAUACCAGUGGCGAAGGCGGCCUUCUGGACUGACACUGACACUGAGGUGCGAAAGCGUGGGUAGCAAACAGGAUUAGAUACCCUAGUAGUC